CGCCUCUUGAUACUAUAUAAGAGGUCCAGCCUGCCCAGUGACUCUGUUCAACGGCCGCGGUAUCCUAACCGUGCGAAGGUAGCGUAAUCACUUGUUCUUUAAAUGAGGACUAGUAUGAAUGGCACCACGAGGGUUCUACUGUCUCCCUUUUUUAAUCAGUGAAACUAAUCUUCCCGUGAAGAAGCGGGGAUAAACUUAUAAGACGAGAAGACCCUAUGGAGCUUUAAACUAUAUAUCAAUUGCUCACUUUUUCUACUAUUUCAGAAUUUGUACCCUUUAUUCUAGCUUUUUGAUAAUAAGUUUUAGGUUGGGGUGACCGCGGAGUAAAAAAUAACCUCCAUAUUGAAAGAAAUCUUUUCUGAGCAAAAAACUACAAUUUUAUGCACCAAAAUACUGACAUUAAUUGACCCAAUAAUUUGAUCAACGAACCAAGUUACCCUAGGGAUAACAGCGCAAUCUACUUCAAGAGCCCCUAUCGACAAGUAGGUUUACGACCUCGAUGUUGGAUCAGGGUGUCCUAGUGGUGCAGCCGCUACUAAAGGUUCGUUUGUUCAACGAUUAAAACCCU
rnacentral:rRNA from 1 species